AAUAUACAAGAACUGGAAUUACCAGUUGCAACACAAAUUGCAAUUUAAAACACACACACAGAGAUCAGCACAGAUGAUUCCCAAGGAGACUUCCUACGCUUCAUUGAAAGAAAAAAGCAUAACCCCAUGCAGGACAGUGAAAUGAACAGAAGAGACAGGAAACUGAGUUUUUCCUCCAGACUAGCUCUUAUUUGCAUGACCUCAAGCAAGUAUCUUAACCUAUAUAGAAACCUUUGUAAAGACAGGCUAUUUCCAAGGACGGUAGCAAAGACGAAAUGACAGAAGAGGUGUGAAGGGCCUAUGGUUUCAGAUUGUUACUGUUCAUGCUUCAGAAAAUGUCACCGUCUCCAGCAGCUCACUUCCCAACUUUGAUCAGAUGUAGUCAAGACUGGCCAACUAAAGAUUU
rnacentral:lncRNA from 10 species